GACGAACGCUGGCGUCGUGCUUAACACAUGCAAGUCGAACGGAAAGGCCCUGCUUUUGUGGGGUGCUCGAGUGGCGAACGGGUGAGUAACACGUGAGUAACCUGCCCUUGACUUUGGGAUAACUUCAGGAAACUGGGGCUAAUACCGGAUAGGAGCUCCUGCUGCAUGGUGGGGGUUGGAAAGUUUCGGCGGUUGGGGAUGGACUCGCGGCUUAUCAGCUUGUUGGUGGGGUAGUGGCUUACCAAGGCUUUGACGGGUAGCCGGCCUGAGAGAGUGACCGGCCACAUUGGGACUGAGAUACGGCCCAGACUCCUACGGGAGGCAGCAGUGGGGAAUAUUGCACAAUGGGCGGAAGCCUGAUGCAGCAACGCCGCGUGCGGGAUGACGGCCUUCGGGUUGUAAACCGCUUUCGCCUGUGACGAAGCGUGAGUGACGGUAAUGGGUAAAGAAGCACCGGCUAACUACGUGCCAGCAGCCGCGGUGAUACGUAGGGUGCGAGCGUUGUCCGGAUUUAUUGGGCGUAAAGGGCUCGUAGGUGGUUGAUCGCGUCGGAAGUGUAAUCUUGGGGCUUAACCCUGAGCGUGCUUUCGAUACGGGUUGACUUGAGGAAGGUAGGGGAGAAUGGAAUUCCUGGUGGAGCGGUGGAAUGCGCAGAUAUCAGGAGGAACACCAGUGGCGAAGGCGGUUCUCUGGGCCUUUCCUGACGCUGAGGAGCGAAAGCGUGGGGAGCGAACAGGCUUAGAUACCCUGGUAGUCCACGCUGUAAACGGUGGGUACUAGGUGUGGGGUCCAUUCCACGGGUUCCGUGCCGUAGCUAACGCUUUAAGUACCCCGCCUGGGGAGUACGGCCGCAAGGCUAAAACUCAAAGGAAUUGACGGGGCCCCGCACAAGCGGCGGAGCAUGCGGAUUAAUUCGAUGCAACGCGUAGAACCUUACCUGGGUUUGACAUGGAUCGGGAGUGCUCAGAGAUGGGUGUGCCUCUUUUGGGGUCGGUUCACAGGUGGUGCAUGGCUGUCGUCAGCUCGUGUCGUGAGAUGUUGGGUUAAGUCCCGCAACGAGCGCAACCCUUGUUCACUGUUGCCAGCACGUUAUGGUGGGGACUCAGUGGAGACCGCCGGGGUCAACUCGGAGGAAGGUGGGGAUGACGUCAAGUCAUCAUGCCCCUUAUGUCCAGGGCUUCACGCAUGCUACAAUGGCUGGUACAGAGAGUGGCGAGCCUGUGAGGGUGAGCGAAUCCCGGAAAGCCGGUCUCAGUUCGGAUUGNGGUCUGCAACUCGACCUCAUGAAGUCGGAGUCGCUAGUAAUCGCAGAUCAGCAACGCUGCGGUGAAUACGUUCCCGGG
rnacentral:rRNA from 1 species